rnacentral:rRNA from 1 species
UACGAAGGGGGCGAGCGUUGUUCGGAAUUACUGGGCGUAAAGGGCGCGUAGGCGGCGACUCAAGUUAGAUGUGAAAGUCCUGGGCUUAACCUGGGGGACUGCAUUUGAUACUGGGUUGCUUGAAUUCGGGAGAGGAUAGCGGAAUUCCCAGUGUAGAGGUGAAAUUCGUAGAUAUUGGGAAGAACACCGGUGGCGAAGGCGGCUAUCUGGACCGACAUUGACGCUGACGGCGCGAAAAGCGUGGGGGAGCAAACAGG